GCUCGUGUCGUGAGAUGUGGUUAGUCCGCAACGAGCGCAACCCCUACUUGUUAGUUGCCAUCAUUCAGUUGGGCACUCUAGCGAGACUGCCGGUAAUAAACCGGAGGAAGUGGGAUGACGUCAAAUCAUCAUGCCCCUUAUGACCUGGGCUACACACGUGCUACAAUGGUUGGUACAACGAGUUGCGAGUCGGUGACGGCGAGCUAAUCUCUUAAAGCCAAUCUCAGUUCGGAUUGUAGGCUGCAACUCGCCUACAUGAAGUCGGAAUCGCUAGUAAUCGCGGAUCAGCACGCCGCGGUGAAUACGUUCCCGGGCCUU
rnacentral:rRNA from 1 species